GUUUUUUUUUAUUCCGGUUUCGUUUUCCCGCUGUUCCAGACGAGGUGAAUGUAUUUGGGUGAUCAUUAAAAUGCAGACAAGGGAUCAUCUGAAAACAUUUUUGCAAGGCAAUUUGCAAAAAGAAUGGACGUGUACGGGGAAAGCUUCCAAGAGUCGAAUCGAUGUGUCGAGUGCAACCAUGGGCUUUAACCUCUUUAGUGACAGAAGAGUUUCUCUUAAAAUCAAUAAAGCAAGUGGAGGGAGGACUUGAAUUACCAAAUGAACAGAAGACAAAAUCCAUAGGCAGAUGAAGACAGUGUGUCGUUUCUUGUCGAGGAAUGAUGCCCAUGUGAAGACCUUACAGGACCAGUACCACUGGACACAACUAGAUGCUGCAAAAAUGGUUGAAAAAAUGAACCAGACAUUUAUUGAGAGGAGGUGGGAAACACAAAUGUCAUUCCUGUUGCUGAAAAAAAGCCCUUCCUAAGGACCUCUUCUGUUGUAAGUAAAGGAACGUCUCCCGAGCUGAUUUCCAUAAAAUAGCAGUUGAUUGAUCACUUUAAGAUUUACAUCAGUUUCUGAAAGCAUCAUAAGUGUUGUACAUGUGACUCAUACAUCAUAAUUCAAGUUUUGUAAAAGUAUAUAAUCUUGACUUUCACCAUUCAGAAGCUUUCCUUUGCACAUUCCUAAGUGCAUGAGAGCAGGUUGUUCACAAUGCCCCACGCUUAAACACUGCUAAAGUAAACAAACCCAUGAAUGGACAAGCAGGCAUUUGACCUUUUCUGGUGGGUGACCUUUUAUAUGUAGGAACCAGAUAUACUCCCACCAACAAAAUGAUGUUUGUGCCUGUCUCAUUAAAAUGUUUUUGAUGCUUUUGCAUAAUCUUAUUUGUGAAAAAGUCAAAUGUUAUAUUGUGAACAUAUUCUUUUGUUUGUGAAAAGUUUUAUUGUAGAUGGGAAACAAAUUUUUAGUCUAACUGUAUUUUAUGAAAUGUUUUGCGGCACAUGGGAAAAUGCAUUUCUUUAAAAAGUGAUAUUCUGGGUAGAAAAAAAAACGUUUUAUUGUAACGGUCAUGAAGUACAGUGCCACAUCAAUAUCAGCACGCAGCACUACAGCGCUCAUGUAUUGUCACUGGUGGAUGCUCUAAUAUGUCAUGAUUCUCACUUGUUUCCUUUUCAUUAUUGUGUGUAUUUAAACCCUCAUGUGUUCAUUGUACACCACAAAGUCUAAUUCAGUGACUGAUACUAAACCAUUUGUCCUCAUUCAGUUUCCGCUUUAUUGAUUCUUGCUCAACAUUUAGAUCUUGCUUGUCAUUGUAUAUCCUGUUCUUUCAUUGCCUGACCUUUACAUGUUUACACUUUUGGACUGCCUGCUCUUCUAAUCAUGAAUAAAUGUAUUUACACAAAAAAGAGAUAUUUUACUGUACACUGGAAAAAAAAUAUUCAAACAACUAUAUCAAUAA